rnacentral:rRNA from 1 species
CCUACGGGCUGCACCAGUAGUGAAUCUUCGGCAAUGGACGAAAGUCUGACCGAGCAACGCCGCGUGAGUGAAGAAGGUUUUCGGAUCGUAAAACUCUGUUGGUAGAGAAGAACGUUGGCGAGAGUGGAAAGCUCAUCAAGUGACGGUAACUACCCAGAAAGGGACGGCUAACUACGUGCCAGCAGCCGCGGUAAUACGUAGGUCCCGAGCGUUGUCCGGAUUUAUUGGGCGUAAAGCGAGCGCAGGUGGUUUAUUAAGUCUGGUGUAAAAGGCAGUGGCUCAACCAUUGUAUGCAUUGGGAACUGGUAGACUUGAGUGCAGGAGAGGAGAGUGGAAUUCCAUGUGUAGCGGUGAAGUGCGUAGAUAUAUGGAGGAACACCGGUGGCGAAAGCGGCUCUCUGGCCUGUAACUGACACUGAGGCUCGAAAGCGUGGGGAGCAAACAGGAUUAGAUACCCCGGUAGUC